ACCACCGUAAUUGUAACUGAGGC
rnacentral:piRNA from 1 species